rnacentral:rRNA from 1 species
UACAGAGGGUGCGAGCGUUAAUCGGAAUUACUGGGCGUAAAGCGUGCGUAGACGGUUAUGUAAGUCGGAUGUGAAAGCCCCGGGCUCAACCUGGGAAUUGCAUUCGAGACUGCAUAGCUAGGAUGCGGAAGAGGGAAGUGGAAUUUCCGGUGUAGCGGUGAAAUGCGUAGAUAUCGGAAGGAACAUCAGUGGCGAAAGCGACUUCCUGGUCCAGCAUCGACGUCAGGCACGAAAAGCGUGGGGAGCAAACAGG